rnacentral:SRP_RNA from 2 species
GCUGGGUGUGGUGGUGGGCACCUGUAGUCCUAGCUACUUCGGAGGCUGAGGCAGGAGAAUCACUUGAACCCAGGAGGCGGGGGUUGCAGUGAGCCAAGAUCGUGCUUCUGCACUCCAGCUUGGGUGACAGAGUGAGACUCUGUCUCAU